CGUUGGCCGCCGCGCACGUCGGGAGUUGUAGUUCUGGCUAGGCCGUGCGUCCUGCACCGAUCUCCGGGCCCGCCGCGGCGCCCGCUGGCCUGGGGUUCCGGCUUACAGCGCGGGAAUUCGGGAACCCAGCGCGGGCUGCAGAGGCCCCAGCAGGAGCCCCGCCUCCCGGCUCGUCGACGGAUUCGUUCUUGGCCCUGCCAAUCUGAUUCUCAGCUCCCAGAACUUCACGAUUUAGAAUGUAGACUUUUGCUUUGUGACAGUUCUCCCCAUCCCCGACUACUAAAUGACGAACCCUCUUUAACUGUGAAAUGUACCUGCAAAGUCAAGCAGUGUCUUUGGAUACCCAAGUUCAGAUAUGAACAAGCAAGCUACAAAAGCGGGGUGGGCGGGUAUGAGUGAGCAGAAGAGAGAAACCGGGCUGCAAAAAAGGAAAAUAAAGGCGGGACGUGGGGGUAUGAUUUGCUGAAUGGUACCAAAGUUGAUUUUUUGCACCGUGCACAGUGAUCGAGCUGAGCAAAUUAUUUUUUUUUUAAUUAUAAGCAGCGAGUGCCUUGCUGCCUCCUCAU
rnacentral:lncRNA from 1 species